GACGAACGCUGGCGGCGUGCUUAACACAUGCAAGUCGAGCGGUAAGGCCCUUUCGGGGGUACACGAGCGGCGAACGGGUGAGUAACACGUGGGUGACCUGCCCUUAGCUCUGGGAUAAGCCUGGGAAACUGGGUCUAAUACCGGAUAUGACUCCAUGACGCAUGUUGUGGGGUGGAAAGCCUUGUGCGGCUAGGGAUGGGCCCGCGGCCUAUCAGCUUGUUGGUGGGGUGAUGGCCUACCAAGGCGACGACGGGUAGCCGGCCUGAGAGGGCGACCGGCCACACUGGGACUGAGACACGGCCCAGACUCCUACGGGAGGCAGCAGUGGGGAAUCUUGCGCAAUGGGCGAAAGCCUGACGCAGCGACGCCGCGUGAGGGAUGACGGCCUUCGGUUG
rnacentral:rRNA from 1 species